rnacentral:rRNA from 1 species
GUCAAUCUGCUCAAUGAAUUUAUUUAAAUAGCUGCAGUAUAUUGACUGUACAAAGGUAGCAUAAUCAAUUGUCUUUUAAUUGAAGAAUGGAAUGAAAGAAUUAAUGAAAUAUAUACUGUCUCAAAUAUAUAUUAUGAAAUUAAAUUUUUAGGUAAAAUGCUAAAAUUAAAUUAUGGGACAAUAAGACCCCAUAGAAUUUUAUAUAAUUAAUAUUUUUAAAUAUUUUUUCUUAUUUAAAGAUUAUUAAUAAUAUUUAAUUGGGAGGAUUAAUAAAUUUAAUAUACUUUAUUUAUAAAAAACCUUGAUUUAAGAAAAUUUAAUUUGAUAUAAUAAUAUUAAUAAAAAAAUUAAAUUACCUUAGGGAUAACAGCGUAAUAUCUUUUUAAAGUUCAUAUUAAUAAAGAUGUUUGCGACCUCGAUGUUGAAUUAAGAUAAAUUUUAAAUGGAGAAAUUUAAUGAUUAAGUCUGUUCGACUUUUAAAAUCUUACAUGAUUUGAGUUC